GCCCCUCUGGCGGAAUGGUAGACGCGCUUGACUCAAAAUCAAGUAUCGAGAGGUGUGCCGGUUCGAGUCCGGCGGGGGGCACCA
rnacentral:tRNA from 4 species